CAGCGCCCCACAGAAGCUUGCUUCGUGGCGGGCUACCCUACUUCGGUAGGGCCUAGGGUCGUCGAACCUCUCGAAGAAGUUCGGUCCUGAACUCCACCCUUGAAUAAAUUACCUUUGUUGCUUUGGCGGGCCGCCUCGUGCCAGCGGCUUCGGCUGUUGAGUGCCCGCCAGAGGACCACAACUCUUGUUUUUAGUGAUGUCUGAGUACUAUAUAAUAGUUAAAACUUUCAACAACGGAUCUCUUAGUUCUGGCAUCGAUGAAGAACGCAGCGAAAUGCGAUAAGUAAUGUGAAUUGCAGAAUUCAGUGAAUCAUCGAAUCUUUGAACGCACAUUGCGCCCUCUGGUAUUCCGGGGGGCAUGCCUGUUCGAGCGUCAUUAUAACCACUCAAGCUCUCGCUUGGUAUUGGGGUUCGCGGUUUCGCGGCCCCUAAAAUCAGUGGCGGUGCCUGUCGGCUCUACGCGUAGUAAUACUCCUCGCGAUUGAGUCCGGUAGGUUUACUUGCCAGCAACCCCCAAUUUUUACAGGUUGACCUCGGAUCAGGUAGGGAUACCCGCUGAACUUAAGCAUAUCAAUAAGCGGAGGAAAAGAAACCAACAGGGAUUACCUCAGUAACGGCGAGUGAAGCGGUAACAGCUCAAAUUUGAAAGCUAGCUCUUUUAGGGUUCGCAUUGUAAUUUGUAGAAGAUGCUUCGGGUGUGGCCCCGGUCUAAGUUCCUUGGAACAGGACGUCAUAGAGGGUGAGAAUCCCGUAUGUGACUGGGUGC
rnacentral:rRNA from 1 species